GUUAGUGUGGCAGAGACUGGCAAUUCGAAAGGUCCUAAGCUUCUUCAUCCAGAGGCUCAAAUCCUCUCCUUAACU
rnacentral:tRNA from 1 species